UAUGGGCGCAGGCCUGAACCAGCCAAGUAGCGUGAAGGAUGACUGCCCUAUGGGUUGUAAACUUCUUUUAUAAAGGAAUAAAGUCGGGUAUGUAUACCCGUUUGCAUGUACUUUAUGAAUAAGGAUCGGCUAACUCCGUGCCAGCAGCCGCGGUAAUACGGAGGAUCCGAGCGUUAUCCGGAUUUAUUGGGUUUAAAGGGAGCGUAGAUGGAUGUUUAAGUCAGUUGUGAAAGUUUGCGGCUCAACCGUAAAAUUGCAGUUGAUACUGGAUAUCUUGAGUGCAGUUGAGGCAGGCGGAAUUCGUGGUGUAGCGGUGAAAUGCUUAGAUAUCACGAAGAACUCCGAUUGCGAAGGCAGCCUGCUAAGCUGCAACUGACAUUGAGGCUCGAAAGUGUGGGUAUCAAACAGGAUUAGAUACCCUGGUAGUCCAAGGGCGAAUUC
rnacentral:rRNA from 1 species